rnacentral:lncRNA from 1 species
UUCCAGAUCAUAAAUUAAAUCAUUUAUAAAUACUAAAUACAAUAAACCUGAGAGCAUACCUCCUUGUCGUACACCUUCUAAUACAGGGAAAAAAUCUGAUUGACAUUGAUUGACAAUAACUGCACUUUUCGUAUUAUAAUGACAGUCAUUAAUUAAUAACCAUAGCUUACCAUUUACACCAAGUUUAAACAGUUUGUACAUUAAACCUAUCCUCCAUACCGUAUCAAAUGCUUUCCUGCUAUCUAGGAAUGCUACAAAAAUUUUACUAAAU